rnacentral:tRNA from 1 species
GGUGCGGUGGGCACCGUCGGCGGUGGCGGACGCGUUCUGCGCGUCGCGGCUGGGCGGCGACUGGGGGGCGGCGUUCGGGACGCUGCCGCACACCC